UAAAUGAACCUCGACAAAAGUUGCGAAUAUUUUACCAGUUCCUUUAUAACAACAACACAAGACAGCAGACUGAAGCCCGAGAUGACUUGCAUUGCCCAUGGUGCACGCUGAACUGUCGGAAACUGUAUAGUUUACUCAAACACCUUAAACUUUGUCACAGCAGAUUUAUCUUUAAUUAUGUUUAUCAUCCGAAAGGUGCUAGGAUAGAUGUGUCUAUCAAUGAGUGCUAUGACGGCUCAUAUGCGGGGAACCCGCAGGAUAUCCAUCGUCAGCCUGGGUUUGCCUUCAGUCGCAAUGGACCAGUCAAAAGAACUCCUAUCACACACAUACUUGUAUGCAGGUAGGGAGAUUGAAAAGCAAGUCUGUUCUUACUUGUGUAAUACAGCACAUGGCUGAGGUCUGCAAAUCUAAAGCUACAUGCGAACAGUGAUAAAUUUCACUAGCAUUAAAGUACAGCUGUUCCUG
rnacentral:lncRNA from 7 species